AGCAAUUAUGUUAAAAAUCUAAUUUUAGGUGCUAGUUCUAUCAUACCAUACUGUAGUUGGGGCAAGUAUCUCUAGGGUUCUGUUUUCUAAAAGCAAAACAAAAAAUAACAAGGAAAAAAACAAAAGAGACAACCCCCCCCCCCCUCCAAUAAUGAGCUGAGUGAGUGAAAUUGUAUUGAGAAAACUGCUUUCAAUAACCUCACCUAGCACCUCUUUCCUUUAUCAUACUGGUUUUGGGCCUCAUUUCUAUGUAUAGUAUUACAAGGGGGCUGGGCUGAUUGGGGAAGACUGGAGACUCAUUUCCUGCCAGCAAGGAAUCACUGUCUCAUCUCUUUUCAUUUCAAUUAAGCACCAAUGGUUGGCACACAGUAAGGAAACUGAGGUCUAGAGAGGCAGUCAGAGAAAAUCUAUUAGGCCAAAACAAUUUUCUGAGGUCCUGGGUCAAGGAAUUGUGGGUGUGGCCCAUAGAACCUUUAUUGCAUUUUGUUCAUUCAUUUGUUCAUGGAUUCAUUCCUUAAACAACCAUUUAUUAAGCAUUUACUACUAUGUGUGCAAAGUCCUGGGCUUUGAGUUGUAUUUUCAAUUCUUAUUACUAUUCUUUUGUGUCCGAUUUCAUUUAGCUUAAUGUCUUUAGGGCUCUUGAGUUUAUGGGUCUGUGCUAAUUUGUAUGACUUUAAAAUAUAUAUAUAGGUUUCUUGCUAUGCAGGAAUUUGAUGCUCCAAAAUAAUACUGCGAUACUAAUCACCAUCACAUCUUAAGUGCCCUCCCAUGUGUGACCAGGAAUCUUGACGUAUUCCUGAAUAAAAGGGAUGUCAAUGUGUGGUUUAUCCCUCGAACUGAACCUAUUCAUGUGGGAAAAACGCCCAGAAAUAAUUAUUCUCUUCAGACCUUGAGGCCGAAUCAAACCUUUGGUACAACACGAGUCACCAAUCUUCCCCGUAACCACCUGCCUAGGAAGAGUCACAAUUUCUCUGGGGAUGGUGAAAUUGAAAAUGCAUGUUUUGGAAGAAUUUUGGCUGCCGAUUUACCAAUUUACCAAUUUCUCCAUGGGAUGAAUAGUUUCAAUCUUGCCCUCAGCCAUAAGAUUGAAUCCAAAAUCCUAGACAUGUUACAAAUGUGAGUUAUUGGUAGAAUAUAUGCUUCUUGAGAGCAGGAACUGCCAUUUGGUCUUUGUAUUCCCAAAAUCCAAUAUAGGGCCUAGCAUAUAGCUAAUGCUUACUAAUGCCUGUCAUAUUGGAUUGGAAAUAAUUGUGAAUAAGGUGAAAGGGUGUGAGUUUGUGGAUGACUCAGUGAAAUCUCAUCCUGGCCAUUGGGAUCAGGAAUCAUCACCCCACAAUGGUAAGUCAGAAAGGAUUACCUCUGUCUCUUGAAAUUAAUUAUUUCCUUUAAGACCUACCUCAUGGGUCACCUUCUAUGUAAAGCCUUUGGUAGUUUCCUCUGCCCUUAGGAUGCACUAAAUGGCUAUUCUCCUCUUCCCUCUUCUUUAUACCCAAAUUAUCCCAUGUUCAUUUUACAUAUAUUAUGCAUAUACAUAUAUUCUUAUCAUUUUCAUCAUUAGAAUAUAUAUUUCUUGGGGUCAAGGACUUUGUUACUUUUGGUUUUGUAUUCAUAACAAACACAGUGCCUAGCACAUAGCAGGUGCUUAAUAAAUACUUCUUGAUUAAGUUAUUAUAUAUAACA
rnacentral:lncRNA from 1 species